rnacentral:rRNA from 1 species
UACGGAGGGUGCGAGCGUUAUCCGGAAUUACUGGGUUUAAAGGGUGCGUAGGCGGCUUGGUAAGUCAGGAGUGAAAGUUUGCGGCUCAACCGUAAAAUUGCUUUUGAUACUGCCGGGCUGGAAUCAGGAUGAGGUCAGCGGAAUGUGGCAUGUAGCGGUGAAAUGCAUAGAUAUGCCAUAGAACACCCAUUGCGAAGGCAGCUGGCUAGACCUGUAUUGACGCUGAGGCACGAAAGCGUGGGGAGCGAACAGG